GAGCAGGAAGGGAGGCCGACUCCCUCGGCUGCCCGCCGAGCCCAGGUCGUACAUGUGCAUUUGGAGUUUCCUUAAGAAUCCCGACCUGAGGGAAGGGGAUUGGCAGUGGAGCUUCCAGGAAUGGCUGGAAAGUUGGGGUCAGGGGACGCUGGCCACAUGGGGAGAGAGCUAAGAAAAGCAGCAAAAGAAGAAAAGAAAGGAAAGAAGGAACGGGCUCCCUCGAAAGCCUGGUCAGGCGAGCGCCAGUAUGGAAGUGGGCAUGGCACCUCAAUUGCAGAGAGUGUCCUGGGUUUGAAUGGUGCCCCCCAAAAAGACAUAUUGAAGUCUCAACUCCUGGUAUCUGUGACUGUGACCUCAUUUGGAAAGGGAGACUUUGCAGCUGUAAUCAAGGUAAGAUGAGGUCAUACUGUAGGAGCAGGGUGGGCCCUAAUCCAGUGAUUGGCAUUCACAACAGACCAGGGAAAUUGGGACACAGACACACACAGAGAGAGGAUGGCCACACGAAGACAGAGGCCAAGAAGGAUUGCUGGAAACCACCAGAAGCCGAAAAUGGCGAGAAAGGGGCUUCAGUGGAGCGGGGGCCUGCCAGCACCUGGAUCUCGGACUUCUGGCCUCCAGAACCGGGAGAGAAAAAUGUGUCUUGCUUGAAGGCCCCGAUUUGUAGUACUUAUUAUGGCCGCCCCAGGAAGCCAUACAGAAGGUCUGAUGGUGAGGGGCCCUUGGUGAAGCUGCAGGAGUGAGAACACCAC
rnacentral:lncRNA from 1 species